rnacentral:rRNA from 1 species
UACGGGGGGGGUAAGCGUUGUUCGGAAUUACUGGGCGUAAAGGGCUCGUAGGCGGCCAACUAAGUCGGAUGUGAAAUCCCCAGGCUCAACUUGGGAACUGCAUCCGAUACUGGAUGGCUUGAAUUCGGGAGAGGGAUGCAGAAUUCCAGGUGUAGCGGUGAAAUGCGUAGAUAUCUGGAGGAAUACCGGUGGCGAAGGCGGCAUCCUGGACCGACAUUGACGCUGAGGAGCGAAAGCUAGGGGAGCAAACGGG